UGGUGAUCGGCGUGCUAGCCGU
rnacentral:miRNA from 1 species